GGGUGUAUAGCUCAGUGGUAGAGCAUUCGACUACAGAUUGAGAGGUCCCCGUUCAAACCUGGAUGCUCCUU
rnacentral:tRNA from 1 species